AAAAUGGUCUUUCUCAAGACCACCAAAUCGAAAAGUAUGACAAACA
rfam:Acyrthosiphon pisum strain LSR1 Contig17793, whole genome shotgun sequence.